CAGUCGCCACGGUAAUACGGAGGAUCCAAGCGUUAUCCGGACUUAUUGGGUUUAAAGGGUGCGUAGGUGGCCUGUUAAGUCAGGGGUGAAAGACGGUAGCUUAACUAUCGCAGUGCCCUUGAUACUGAUGGGCUUGAAUGAACUAGAGGUAGGCGGAAUGUGACAAGUAGCGGUGAAAUGCAUAGAUAUGUCACAGAACACCAAUUGCGAAGGCAGCUUACUAUGGUUUUAUUGACACUGAGGCACGAAAGCGUGGGGAUCAAAUAGGAUUAGAUACCCCCGUAGUCCCUGUCUCUUAUAU
rnacentral:rRNA from 1 species